UAGAGGGUCCGAUGAAGACCUUUGGAGGUUAGUUCAGAGGCCGGCCAGCCAUUUGCCAAGCCUGCGACCCUCUCCCAGGCUGCAGCUCCCAGUCUUGCUGGAAAUUAGCGGUGCCACGUGACUGAGCUGUAGCCAAUGGACCUUGAGCAGAUACGCACGGCCUUCAGCCCGGCCCGGAAACGCCGCCCACACGCGUCCUCCACGCUUCCCCCCCCUGCAGCUCGAUGGUGACCAUGACGGGGGAGCCGCCUGUUCAAUACAGCCACGUACCCCGUGGAAGAAGCCUGGGUCCCCGAGCCACCGCCUGGAGCAGAGCCGCGCCCUGACCCGGAGCACCUGCAUCAGCCUUUCCUGAGAAACCAUCCAUCCGUUCAACAAAUAUUUAUUGGACACCCGCAGCGUGCCACGCAUGGUUCCGGCCGCAGGGGGUGGAGCGGUGGACGAAAUGGGCAAGAUUCCUGCUCUUCAUGAGGGGCGGAGGCGGCGGCGCUCCCAUCCCCACUUGGGAAGACGGCAGCUCCGUCCGGUGGAAUGACUCACGGGCGGUCUCCUACCGUGGACGUGCCAGAGCAGGGGAGUGGACCCAGGACUGUCUGGUUCCAGAGGCCAAGCUCUGGCCCACGGUCGUGUCACUCCGCGUGUGACAGCAGCAAAGCCAGCGUGGAGCGUGACGCUGUCCUGAGGCCAUCGGCACCCGGUGCGGCUGCAAGAGUGCUACCCCCAAGCGUCAAAGGGAGCUGGGCAGAGAGCUGCUGUCCGCACCCGUGAUCUGGGGGAGCCUGGGGAGAGAAAGGCACACAGAGCUGCCUGUUGGGUUCCACCGACCGUGAGGCUGAACCGGAGUCUUCCCAAGCACCCAGGCCUCAGCCGCCAUCUCCCAUGCCGGCCUCUUGAAGAGGGGCGCCCCAGCUCUCAUGCCCCAAGCCAGGAUGUUCCUGUGCGAAGCUCCUCCCCCCCACCCCCUGCCCCACAGAGACCUUCGUUCUGUCACACCACGCUGGUGCCACCUCUGGCGGGAGGCCUGGCCUCCUAGGAGGAGAGGCUGGGCUUCUGGAGGUCACGUUCCUCAUUUCCGGCCCUAGUUAAGAUUUGCUGGCAGGUCUGUGUGCCAGUCAGGAGCCAGGCGCUGCGUUAGGCGCUUUGCUAAUGGGAAGAUCUCUUUAAAACCUCUCAGUAGCUGAGAGGAAGUGCCCUCACCAUCGCGUUUUACGGCUGGGAAGCUGGAGCUCACAGAGGGCCGGACUUGCUCAGGCCACACAGCCGGGUCAGGGUAGAGCGAGCUUUGAACCCGGGACUGUGGCUCUAGAGCAGUGGUUCCCACCCUUUUCUGGCCGCGC